CAAACGACUCUCGGCAACGGAUAUCUCGGCUCACGCAUCGAUGAAGAACGUAGCAAAAUGCGAUACUUGGUGUGAAUUGCAGAAUCCCGUGAACCAUCGAGUUUUUGAACGCAAGUUGCGCCCGAAGCCUUCCGGCCGAGGGCACGCCUGCCUGGGCGUCACGC
rnacentral:rRNA from 2 species